AUGUCUGACAAACUGCCCUACAAAGUCGCUGACAUCAGCCUGGCCACCUGUGGGGCACAAGGCCCUGGACAUCGCAGAGAAUGAGAUGCCCGGCCUGAUGCUCAUGCGAGAGUUGUACUCAGCCUCCAAACCACUGAAGGGUGCCUGCAUUGCUGGUUGCUUGCACAUGACUGUGGAGACUGCUGUCCUCACAGAGACCCUCGUCACCCUGGGUGCUGAGGUACAGUGGUCCAGCUGCAACAUCUUCUCUACUCAGGACCAUGCAGCAGCUGCCAUUUCCAGGGCUGGCAUCCCAGGGCAAAACGGAUGAAGAGUACCUGUGGUGCAUCAAACAGACACUGUACUUCAAGGAUGGGCCCCUCAACAUGAUUCUGGACAACGGUGGUGACCUCACCAACCUUAUCCACACCAGGUACCCACAGCUCCUGCCAGGCAUUCGAGGCAUCUCUGAGGAGACCACGACUGGGGUCCACAACCUAUACAAGAUGAUGACCAAUGGGAUCCUGAAGGUACCCGCUAUCAAUGUCAAUGACUCCGUCACCAAGAGCAAGUUUGACAACCUCUGUGGCUGCCGGGAGUCCCUCAUAGAUGGCAUCAAGCGGGCCACAGAUGUGAUGAUUGCAGGCAAGGUGGCAGUGGUAGCAGGAUAUGGCGACGUGGGCAAGGGCUGUGCACAGGCCCUGCGGGAUUUUGGAGCCCGUGUCAUCAUCACUGAGAUCGACCCCAUCAAUGCACUGCAGGCUGCUAUGGAGGGCUAUGAGGUAACCACCAUGGAUGAGGCCUGUCAGGAGGUCAAUAUCUUUGUUACCACCACAGGCUGUGUUGACAUCAUCCUUGGCCUGCACUUUGAGCAGAUGAAGGAUGACUCCAUUGUGUGUAACACUGGACACUUUGACGUGGAGAUUGAUGUCAGGUGGCUCAAUGAGAAUGCUGUGGAGAAGGUGAACAUCAAACCCCAGGUGGACAGCUACCGGCUGAAGAAUGGGCACCGCAUCAUCCUGCUGGCUGAGGGCUGUCUGGUCAACCUGGGUUGUGCCAUGGGCCACCCCAGCUUCGUGAUGAGUAACUCCUUUACGAACCAGGUGAUGGUGCAGAUUGAACUGUGGACUCAUCCAGACAAGUACCCUGUUGGGGUUCACUUCCUGCCCAAGAAGCUGGAUGAGGCCAUGGCUGAAGCUCACCUGGGCAAGCUGAACGUGAAGCUGACCAAGCUGACUGAGAAACAGGCCCAGUACCUGGGCAUGUCUCGUGACGGCCCCUUCAAGCCUGAACACUACCGCUACUGAGAGACAGACCUGUCCUUCACAUUUCAGCUGCUGUCCUUGUUCAAGCCUCAUCUCCUCCCCAGAGUAAAUGGCACCAACUUUAUGAUUGGUUUGUCAGUAUCCCCUAUUGAAUCCCUGGGGCUGGUAACUCAGUUUUUGGCCUCUGUCCUUCCUUCUGUUCCAAAUAUGGCAGGGGGAAUUGAGAGGCCCUGGUUGUGAUGGAAGUACAAGGGAACCAUGAGCUCAGUGGUCUUGGAACUGCUCCCUGGGUCAGUCCUUCCUUAGGCCUGAAGUUGGUAGUGGUGGUCAUUCAC